rnacentral:rRNA from 1 species
UUGAAGAGUUUGAUCAUGGCUCAGAUUGAACGCUGGCGGCAGGCCUAACACAUGCAAGUCGAGCGGUAGCACAGAGAGCUUGCUCUCGGGUGACGAGCGGCGGACGGGUGAGUAAUGUCUGGGAAACUGCCUGAUGGAGGGGGAUAACUACUGGAAACGGUAGCUAAUACCGCAUAACGUCGCAAGACCAAAGUGGGGGACCUUCGGGCCUCAUGCCAUCAGAUGUGCCCAGAUGGGAUUAGCUAGUAGGUGGGGUAACGGCUCACCUAGGCGACGAUCCCUAGCUGGUCUGAGAGGAUGACCAGCCACACUGGAACUGAGACACGGUCCAGACUCCUACGGGAGGCAGCAGUGGGGAAUAUUGCACAAUGGGCGCAAGCCUGAUGCAGCCAUGCCGCGUGUGUGAAGAAGGCCUUCGGGUUGUAAAGCACUUUCAGCGGGGAGGAAGGCGGUGAGGUUAAUAACCUCAUCGAUUGACGUUACCCGCAGAAGAAGCACCGGCUAACUCCGUGCCAGCAGCCGCGGUAAUACGGAGGGUGCAAGCGUUAAUCGGAAUUACUGGGCGUAAAGCGCACGCAGGCGGUCUGUCAAGUCGGAUGUGAAAUCCCCGGGCUUAACCUGGGAACUGCAUUCGAAACUGGCAGGCUAGAGUCUUGUAGAGGGGGGUAGAAUUCCAGGUGUAGCGGUGAAAUGCGUAGAGAUCUGGAGGAAUACCGGUGGCGAAGGCGGCCCCCUGGACAAAGACUGACGCUCAGGUGCGAAAGCGUGGGGAGCAAACAGGAUUAGAUACCCUGGUAGUCCACGCCGUAAACGAUGUCGAUUUGGAGGUUGUGCCCUUGAGGCGUGGCUUCCGGAGCUAACGCGUUAAAUCGACCGCCUGGGGAGUACGGCCGCAAGGUUAAAACUCAAAUGAAUUGACGGGGGCCCGCACAAGCGGUGGAGCAUGUGGUUUAAUUCGAUGCAACGCGAAGAACCUUACCUGGUCUUGACAUCCACAGAACUUUCCAGAGAUGGAUUGGUGCCUUCGGGAACUGUGAGACAGGUGCUGCAUGGCUGUCGUCAGCUCGUGUUGUGAAAUGUUGGGUUAAGUCCCGCAACGAGCGCAACCCUUAUCCUUUGUUGCCAGCGGUUCGGCCGGGAACUCAAAGGAGACUGCCAGUGAUAAACUGGAGGAAGGUGGGGAUGACGUCAAGUCAUCAUGGCCCUUACGACCAGGGCUACACACGUGCUACAAUGGCAUAUACAAAGAGAAGCGACCUCGCGAGAGCAAGCGGACCUCAUAAAGUAUGUCGUAGUCCGGAUUGGAGUCUGCAACUCGACUCCAUGAAGUCGGAAUCGCUAGUAAUCGUAGAUCAGAAUGCUACGGUGAAUACGUUCCCGGGCCUUGUACACACCGCCCGUCACACCAUGGGAGUGGGUUGCAAAAGAAGUAGGUAGCUUAACCUUCGGGAGGGCGCUUACCACUUUGUGAUUCAUGACUGGGGUGAAGUCGUAACAAGGUAACCGUAGGGGAACCUGCGGUUGGAUCACCUCCUU